rnacentral:lncRNA from 1 species
ACCGUGAGGUUAACUGGGUCACAAGAGGUGGAGGGGUUACCACCAGAAGGCAAGGGGUACAGCUCAGUGGCAGGGUUCUUGCUUAGCACACAAGAGGCCCUGGGUUCCAGUCCUAGCCCUGAAAAAUGAAUAAAUAAAAAGCCAGGCUAAGUCAGUGAUGGAAGCAAACCCACUUAAUGACCGAUGGGGAUCACCUUGGUUGGGGGUAGAGCAUUGCCUGAGAGGUAAGAGGGAGGAGAAGGCAGAGCCUAGGAGCAGACUACAGCCAGGCAGAUUGGAAUUCCAUGUGGAGGAAAGCUAAGAACCAAGGCCACAUGGUACCUGGCAAAGGGGUACCUCGUUAUCCCCUUUCCUGUAGUUUCCUCAUAAGAACACAACAAGAACCACACGAAAUUCAGUCCGUCUGGUGGUCUUGGAUGGCCCCUCACCUAGGCACAGGGCUACAAAGGCAGAAAAAUGUAGCUCAAGCUGAGCCUGCAUUUGGCCAUGAUGACAGUGUCCCACUUCUAACACCCUGGCAAUGUGUAACAAGAUGUUCCAAGGAACUCAUGAACCUUGUCAUCAAGAAUCACAGAGCUUGCCGGGCAUGGUGGCACAUGCCUUUAAUCCCAGCACUCGGAAGGCAGAGGCAGGCGGAU